CCGCAAUCAAACGGGCAUCCAGACUCGCUCCCAGACAAAAUGACUCAUAAAGUCCAUCCCAACCAGUCCACGCUACCCUUGAGACGCUCUGUUGACCUGCACCACUCUGCAUUUGUUUGCUAGCUCCGAACCUUGCCAAGCUUAUCGAUUUCCCGGCUACUGCUGAUUUUU